UGGUAGUCCACGCCGUAAACGAUGAGUGCUAAGUGUUAGGGGGUUUCCGCCCCUUAGUGCUGCAGCUAACGCAUUAAGCACUCCGCCUGGGGAGUACGACCGCAAGGUUGAAACUCAAAGGAAUUGACGGGGGCCCGCACAAGCGGUGGAGCAUGUGGUUUAAUUCGAAGCAACGCGAAGAACCUUACCAGGUCUUGACAUCCUUUGACCACUCUGGAGACAGAGCUUUCCCUUCGGGGACAAAGUGACAGGUGGUGCAUGGUUGUCGUCAGCUCGUGUCGUGAGAUGUUGGGUUAAGUCCCGCAACGAGCGCAACCCUUGAUUUUAGUUGCCAGCAUUUAGUUGGGCACUCUAAAGUGACUGCCGGUGCAAGCCGGAGGAAGGUGGGGAUGACGUCAAAUCAUCAUGCCCCUUAUGACCUGGGCUACACACGUGCUACAAUGGAUAGUACAAAGGGUCGCGAAGCCGCGAGGUGGAGCUAAUCCCAUAAAACUAUUCUCAGUUCGGAUUGUAGGCUGCAACUCGCCUACAUGAAGCCGGAAUCGCUAGUAAUCGUGGAUCAGCAUGCCACGGUGAAUACGUUCCCGGGCCUUGUACACACCGCCCGUCACACCACGAGAGUUUGUAACACCCGAAGUCGGUAGGGUAACCUUUAUGGAGCCAGCCGCCGAAGGUGGGACAGAUAAUUGGGGUGAAGUCGUAACAAGGUAGCCGUAUCGGAAGGUGCGGCUGGAUCACCUCCUUUCUAAGGAA
rnacentral:rRNA from 1 species